AUCGCGGUGGGAGGGGCCCGCGUCGGAUUAGCUAGUUGGUGGGGUAACGGCUCACCAAGGCGACGAUCGGUAGCUGGUCUGAGAGGAUGAUCACCCACACUGGGAGUGAGACACGGCCCAGACUCCUACGGGAGGCAGCAGUGGGGAAUUUUGGACAAUGGGCGCAAGCCUGAUCCAGCCACGCCGCGUGAGUGAUGAAGGCCUUAGGGUCGUA
rnacentral:rRNA from 1 species